rnacentral:pre_miRNA from 1 species
CUUGUACUCCCUCCGUUCGGAAUUACUUGUCUCGGAAAUGAAUGUAUCUAAAAACUAAAAUACGUCUAGAUACAUUUAUUUCUGCGACAAGUAAUUCCGAACGGAGGGAGUAGUUG